GAAAAUAGCAAAAAGUUGCAUAUUGCAGUAUUUCCAUGGCUAGCUUUUGGUCAUAUGAUUCCGUAUUUAGAGCUUUCAAAGCUCAUAGCUCGUAAGGGUCACAAAAUUUCAUUCAUUUCUACUCCAAAAAAUAUUGAUCGUCUCCCAAAACUUCCACCAAAUUUCGCCCCCUUCAUAAAUUUCGUCAAAAUUCCUCUGCCCCACGUUGAAAAGUUACCGAAAAAUGCAGAAGCCACUAUUGAUUUGCCUUAUGAGCAAGUAAAGUACCUCAAAAUUGCUCAAGAUGGACUCAAAGAACCCAUAGCUAAGUUUCUCGAAGAUUCGGCUCCUGAUUUUAUAAUCUUCGAUUUUGCUUCUUAUUGGAUUCCUUCCAUUGCUUCAAAAUUCAACAUUCCGACCGGUUAUUUUAGCAUAUUCAUCGCUGCGGUUCUAGGUUUCACCGGACCUGAGCCAGGAUUGAACAAUGAUUAUGAAAUUCGGAAGACGCCGGAGGAAUACACCGUUCCCCCAAAAUGGGUGCCAUUUGAAACCACCGUUGCUUUCAAGCUUUUCGAAGUUUUGAGAAUCUUCGAAGCGUCCAUGAAAGGAGAGGAAGAGAACGUUUCUGAUAUUAUUCGUUAUUAUAAAUCUGUUGAAAACUGUGAUUUUUUGCUUGUGAGGAGCUGUUCAGAAUUUGAACCAGAAUGGUUGAAAGUUGUCGGAGAUAUUCACCGGAAACUAGUUUUUCCGGUGGGUCAACUUCCGACAACUCCGUAUGAAGAUGACAGCACAAAAAUUGAUGCAUGGAGAGAGAUAAAACUAUGGCUUGAUGAGCAAGAAAAGGGGAAAGUGAUUUACGUGGCAUUUGGUAGUGAGGCGAAACCGAGUCAAAACGAACUCACUGAGUUAUCACUUGGGCUAGAGCUUUCCGGGUUACCAUUUUUUUGGGUAUUAAGAACUAAAAGAGGGGAAUCCGAUGAUGAAUUAAUUCAAUUGCCAGAAGGGUUCAAAGAUCGAACAAAGGGAAGGGGGAUUGUGUGCACGAGUUGGGUCCCACAACUUAAGAUACUGAGUCAUCACUCAGUGGGUGGAUUUUUGACUCAUUCGGGAUGGAGUUCAGUAGUUGAGGCAAUACAAUUUGAGAAGCCAUUGGUUCUUUUAACAUUUUUGGCCGAUCAAGGAAUAAAUGCUAGGUUAUUAGAGGAGAAGAAGAUGGCGUACUCGAUACCGAGAGAUGAUCGUGAUGGGUCGUUCACUCGUGACUCGGUGGCUGAGUCACUAAAUUUGGUACUUAUUGAAAAAAAGGGUGAGAUUUAUCGAAAAAAGAUUAAAGAGGCGAAAAAUCUUUUUUGUGAUGAGAGAAGACAAAAUGAUUAUGUGGAGAGUUUAUUAAAUUAUCUUCAAAAUUAUAAAAAAGACUAAAAUAUAAAUUGGAAGAAAAAUAACCUGCUUUUUCUUUUACGUAACAAACAAAACGAAAUAUAUUGUAAAAGUGCCAAUGCUGCUUUGAUUUUAAUUUGUGGAAUGGUUUAAUUUAUGUACCAUUAUGUAAUGAUUAUCUAUGUGAUGAAUAAUACUUUGAUAAAAUAAUGUAAUAUAAGUAUUGUUAGUUGUUGAGGUUAUUUUUUUGCAUUUAGCUAACGGUGAAAUACAUAAAUAAUCUCUUAAACUUGUCAGCAAAGUUAAUUUGAACACUAAAAAUUAUGAUAUAUUUUAAUUGAAUAUAACGUAGGAAAAUAUGAUAUUUCUGAUUCAAAUAUUAAAAAACUUUUUGCGCAGUUUAUAGUGCUUGUUAUAUAAAUAAAUUAAACACUAAAAAUAUGUAGUAUCGUUUAUUUAUAUACAUAAAUAAAUAAAAUUUAAUAAGCCACAAAAAUUUUCAAACUAUACGGAAAGGUAUUACAUGUUUCAUGUUUUUGGGUGUCACCAUCAAGUAAUACAUACAAGGAGACAAUUCAAAUCUCAAAAUAAACAGACAUUAGUAAUUUCUCUUUUAUGUAUCUAUGUAUUUAUAAGCAGAGUAUUUGGUACUUGCAUUAGAGAGUAAUGGUAGAUUUUGAGUUGCAUGAAAAAAGCUUGGACAAUAUCGUUAUAUAUAGUAGCUUUUGAGUUGUAUUUACUUUUCUCUCUUAUUUCAACGUGAAAUUCACCUAAGAUGUCAGGUACACCUCAUUUUAAGAACUUUGUCAACUCUACUUAAAUCUUGUCCUUCCUUCAAACCCACUCUUUCAUCCUAACCAAAUAGUAGAAUCUACCUAUCAUCUAUUCUUUUUUCUGCAAAUCACCCCUUCUCAAAAAUCCAAUAAGGCUAUGCCCACACAAGUUAACUUCAAGGUAUCCAAUUAGUUCUCAAGUAAUUUUUUCAGAUUUUAGGUGCGACCUUCAGAAGUUUGUUUUGACAUCUAUCCUUUAAUAGUUAUGUGUCCUAAUUUUUGAGUUUUAGUUCAAGGUAGGAUAGGACGAGAUUGACAAAGGUUGUGGGGAGCCUUCCCCGGGGACUAAUAAUUAGAUUCAUUUUAAUAUUUGAGUUUAAGCUUCUAGUUUGAAGUAAGUCUAUCAGUUGUUUUGACACUUAGUAGCUAAAGCAUACUUUAAUUUUUGGCUUAAAUCAUAUUCUUUACUAGCCGUGACUAAUAGUAAGCACUCAUGAGUAUCAUAAUUUUAGUACAAUCGUUUGAUUGACUUAUAUUUAACUUAGAUUAAUAUUUUAAUUUGGAUAAAUUAUUCUCACAUUAACUCUUACCUAUUUUUGCAUUGUUGAUUUGUUUAGAAAUGCGACUAAUAUGUAUUUUGUUUGUAUAAUACAUAAAAAAGAAAAAGAAGAAUAUUUUAUUCGUGGAGAUAAUUGAUACCCAAUAAAAUAAUCGAGAUAUAUAUAAAUUGAUCUGAAAUCACAAUUAUUGAGGGAAUAAUUAAGCAAAAUGGUCGCUCAACCAUCUUAUUUAAAGAAAAUUGGCCCAAAUUUACCACUUCCUCUUCUUCCUCGCACUUUAGCUAUUAAUGACUUCUUCUUCCUUUUCUCGUUGUUGCUUUCAAUCUUCCUUCAUUAUAUUUUUUUUAUUUGGUAAUAAAUAGAGGUCUUAAAUUGAACAGACACAUAUGUUCGUGAAAGAAUAUGACUGUUAUGAAAAAUUAUUUGUUUAUGAAAGAACACGACCUUUAUGAAAAGUGACUUGUUAAUGAAAGAACAUGACUCUUAUGAAAUGUCAUAUAUUCAUGAAAUAACACGACUCUUAUGAAAAGUCAUAUAUUCAUGAAAGAACAUGACUCUUAUGAAAAGUCAUCUCUUAAGUUCUAUAAAUAUAACAACUCUCUUGAAGUAGCCUAAGAAAAAUUUGUGUGUAUAAACAAAGGUGUCACGACCCAAAAAUGACACUCGUCUUAUUCCUCCAAGACAAAUCAACCUAAAACCCAACUGAUACGGUGAAUGCAGAAGUAAAAUGAGAAUACAAGUUUAAUACUACAAAAUAGUGCGGAAAACAAAGUCAACUUAAUUAAACCCCCAAAAUCUGGUUAUCACGUGUACAAUCCUCUAAAGUAUUACAAUUGAAUUAAAAGAAAAAUACAAGUCUCAAAUGACAUUGUUUCUAGAAUUGAACAAGAUCAUAACUAAGGAGAAAGAAGUUCAGCUGAGAUUAAAACAACUAUCUCACAAACCUCCACAAGAAACCAGAGACAAGAAGAGAAGAGAAAUAGUAUCACAAAGAUCCGGGCUAGUAACCUACAAAAAUGUAGAAGCAAGGAGUGAGUACCAAACCACACGGUACUCAGCAAGCAAACUUCUAAACACAAGCUAAGGGAAUAGAACGGGUACUCCUUACAUUCCAACUGAACCUCCACAACUAUAACCUACAUAAAAAUCGCUCAACCUAAAAACUCACAAUUCACAAAGCACACAGCUCAACAACAACACCCUAACAAUUUCAUGUUCUCAACAAUAGACUCAAUAUUUAUCAAUCACAACAUCCACAAAAAGGCACUCACAAGAUCAACAACAUACAAGAUCAAGUUCACCAAUGAUAAAGAUGUGCAAUGCAAUGUCAAGUAUAGGUUUCCAUGUCUGACCUAAAGAUACACACCCGAUCUCUCUCAGUGUGGGACCCAUGGGGGACAUAUUUGUCCAUGCAUCCGUCGCGGUGGGUGACACGUCCCUCGAAAUAUAGUAUCUGUCGCGGGGCGCGACACGUCCCUCGAAAUAUAGUAUCUGUCACGGUGCGCGACACGUCCCUCGAAAUGAUACAUCCUCUUUAAUUUCUUAUUCUUUCUCAAUUCACAUAACACUUGUCACAACCAUGUCUCAGAACAAUACAAAUGACAUAUUCACACAAAUAAUUAGGAGAUGACCAUUUUCAUAACAUUGCACAAUUCACAACAACACAAUCGUGAUACAACAUGAACAAUGAAUCAAUAAGCCUUUCAAAAACCAUUCUCAACACAUCACACACCAACAAUUAAUCACAUUUGCCUUUUGUUACCCUUUUUCAUCAUUAGAAUUAUUCAAUAUGGACAAGUAAACUCAUCACCAAGUCCCAUUACUCUCCAACACAUACCACAAGAAAAUACACGAUUCCAUACACUUAACAAGAGUUUAGAAAUCCACUUGCCUCAAAUGGUCAAACAAUCACUCUGAAACUUGAGCCUUCCCCUUUCGUUGGACUUCUAGAUCAAUUCAAUCUAUUCAAAUAAAUAAUCACAAUAAGAUUUUGAAACUAACAACAACCAUAUUGCUAUAUGUAUAGCUUAGACCCAAAACUCACCCGAAUUUAUAAUAAAGUUUCUAAAUCUUGAUUCUAACCAAUAACACAAAUCUCAUAUUUCCUGAACUUUAAGUCUAGGGUUAAAUUUCAACUACUCCAAAUAACAUAACUCAAAUGUCAUUCGUAUAAUAUCAUACACCUAAUAUUUAAUUACUUAACUCACUAUUUCAAACUUGUAUCAAAUGUAAAAAUCAUGAAAAGAAACUACGAAAUCGAAAUCAACGGAAAAGUAGAAAUAACACGAAGCACCCAAUCCAGCAGGGUCAAAUUUCCAGCCACCAUCAAUUCCUCACGUCUUAGUCCAUUAACUAUGGGCCAAGUGAUAUAAGCUAUUACAUAAAUUAUCAAUUUAGUAUAUUAACUAUCAACUAAAUAAAAUAAUUAUUUAAUAAAUAUCCAUCAAUUAAAUAAACGUAAUUAUCAAAUAGUUUAAAUUUUUCAAACCAACUUCACCGACUGAUCAUAAAUGACUCGGAACAACUAUCGGGAGGGAUAAAACGGUAAUUUUUAUGAUAAUUUCUAAAAAAAAUAUUUAGGAUCAUUACAAAAGGGCUUUGUUAUAUUCUUGACGAUAAUUGUUUGUUUUUACCUCAAUAUGUAUAUGGACAAUAUCUUUUUAAAGAAAGUGAUUACAUGCCUCAAAACCACCUUCUUCUUCAAUUAUAUUUCCUAUUAUUUUUCUAACACAUUCUUCUUUCGUGAUCAACCAAUUACCAUUAAAGUUUUAAAGCUUGAUUUAAACUUUGACGUAUCGCAAACAUGAAUAGUUUCGAGUGAAUUAGAAAUAAAAAAACUCAAAAUAUUUAAGCGGAUUUCAUAUCUAAAAUUUAGGACUAUUUAGAGAAAAAAUUGAGUUGGUCGGAAUUAAAUAGAAAAAAGUAAAAUUACUUGCAAUAAACUCAUCUUUGCCUCCGAAAUCACCUCCUUCAUCAUAAUCCAUAUCCUCUUUAACUAUUUCUCAUCCUUUUCCUUCUUCUUUAAUUAGCCUAAUAAAUAUUCGAAAAAGAUUAGGUUAAUAAAUAGUUAGUCUAUACUACAUCUAUAGUUAAGUUUAGGGGUGGGCAUAAAUACUGGAAAACCGAAUCGAACCGAACUAAUUCGGUUCUUUGGUUUUUCGCUUCGAUCGGUGUCGAUGUUAUUUUUUCGAAAGUUCGGUUCUUCGGUUCGGUGUAAGGGUCUCAAAACUUCGGUGUACCGAAGAACCAAACUUUUAUUUUAAAAAAAUAAAAAUAAUAAUAAUAAAAUAAAAAUAAAUAAAUAAAUAUAUAUAUAUAUAUAUAUAUAUAAUAAUAAUAAUAAAUAAUAAAUAAUAAAUAAUAAUAAUAAUAAUAAUAAUACUCCCUCCAUCCCAUUUUAUGUGGCAAUAUUUGACCGGGCACGGAGUUUAAGAAAUAAAUGAAGACUUUGAAAUAUUUACCAAAUUGCCCUUUAAAAAGUAGACUAUUUUUUCUCUCUCCUUAUAAAUGUAUUGGAGUAUUAUUUUAAGAUUAAGUAGGAUCAAUAAGGAUAAAAGAGGAAUUGUACCUUUAUAAUAUUUAUUUAAUUUGUCAGUACUAUUGUCCUUUGGUGGUUGUCCCAAUAAAUUGAAAUAGUAUUAUUGUACUAAUAUUUAUUUAAUUUGUCCUUUGGUUCUCUCUAUUAUUGUCCUUUGGUGGUUGUCCCAAUAAAUUGAAAUAGUAUUAUUGUACUAAUAUUUAUUUAAUUUGUCAGUACUAUUUUUUGCUAAUAUGUAAGUAAUUUCAUUAUUAAAUUUUAGAAAAAAAGUUGAUAUAUUCUUCAACUUUGUUAAAAAGUGACUCAUUUAAUGGAAGUAAAAAUAAUUAGUUUAUAUACUAAACAUAGAAAAAUAAGUAAAAAAAGUUCAAUUUCACUUAUUUCAACCACCCUAAAUCUUAUUUAUAGUGUAGAGUUGUUGGGAAAUAAUACACAAAAAUGGGGGAACAAAGCAAAAAAUUGCAUAUUGCAGUAUUUCCAUGGCUAGCUUUUGGUCAUAUGAUUCCGUAUUUUGAGCUUUCAAAGCUCAUAGCUCAGAAGGGUCACAAAAUUUCUUUCAUUUCUACUCCUAGAAAUAUCGAUCGUCUUCCAAAACUUCCACCAAAUCUCGCCCCCUUCUUGAAUUUCGUCAAAAUUCCUCUGCCCC
rnacentral:lncRNA from 1 species